rnacentral:lncRNA from 1 species
CUCCGUCUCCCAGAUUCAAGCAGUUUUGCUGCCUUAGCCACUUGAGUAGAUGGAAUUACAGACAGGUGCCUGCCACCACUCCCGGCUAAUUUUUUAUCUUUAUUUUUAAUAGAGACGGGGUUUCACCAUGUUGGCCAAGCUGGUCUCAAACUCCUGAAAUCGAGUGAUCCACCUGCCCCGCCUCCCAAAGUGCUGGGAUUACAGUGGGAUUACAGUUGUGAGCCACCACACACCAGGCCCAGAAUAUUUUGUAAAGCAAAUUUUUCAUCAAAGAAAGCUUGGACAGAAAAUAUGCCUGGUAAAUCAGUCUUCUAAAAGCUGCUGGAGGUAAGGAAAAAAAUUAGUAAUGUAAUGCUGAACUGCCCAUCUAGUUAAUUCUGGGUAAUAUACCAACAACUUUUUGCUUUUUUUGGCAGAAGUUUUGCCCUUUUUCACUAAUCCUAUCUCAACUUAUUUCAAGAAGAUUUCUUUAGUUGGCUAGGCAAGAAAAUGUUCCUUGCCUCUCUUAUAUAACUUAGUGUCUCCACUUAAAUGAAAUGCCUUAAGGAAAAAGCAAUUGCAGAGGAGGUAGGAAGAAAAGACAAGAACAAGGCUAAAAGAACUUGGUUUUAACAGGCAUGUACAUGAGAACCUUUAUAGACUAAGAA